UACGGAGGGGGCUAGCGUUGUUCGGAAUUACUGGGCGUAAAGCGCACGUAGGCGGCUUUGUAAGUUAGAGGUGAAAGCCCGGGGCUCAACUCCGGAAUUGCCUUUAAGACUGCAUCGCUAGAAUUGUGGAGAGGUAAGUGGAAUUCCGAGUGUAGAGGUGAAAUUCGUAGAUAUUCGGAUGAACACCAGUGGCGAAGGCGACUUACUGGACACAUAUUGACGCUGAGGUGCGAAAGCGUGGGGAGCAAACAGG
rnacentral:rRNA from 1 species